rnacentral:rRNA from 1 species
ACGCUGGCGGCAGGCUUAACACAUGCAAGUCGAACGGUAACAGGAAUUAGCUUGCUAAUUUGCUGACGAGUGGCGGACGGGUGAGUAAUGCUUGGGAAUCUGGCUUAUGGAGGGGGAUAACUACGGGAAACUGUAGCUAAUACCGCGUAAAAUCUUCGGAUUAAAGGGUGGGACUUUCGAGCCACCUGCCAUAAGAUGAGCCCAAGUGGGAUUAGGUAGUUGGUUAGGUAAAGGCUGACCAAGCCGACGAUCUCUAGCUGGUCUGAGAGGAUGACCAGCCACACUGGAACUGAGACACGGUCCAGACUCCUACGGGAGGCAGCAGUGGGGAAUGUUGCACAAUGGGGGGAACCCUGAUGCAGCCAUGCCGCGUGAAUGAAGAAGGCCUUCGGGUUGUAAAGUUCUUUCGGUGACGAGGAAGGUUGAUAGGCUAAUAGCCUAUCAAAUUGACGUUAAUCACAGAAGAAGCACCGGCUAACUCCGUGCCAGCAGCCGCGGUAAUACGGGGGGUGCGAGCGUUAAUCGGAAUAACUGGGCGUAAAGGGCACGCAGGCGGUGACUUAAGUGAGAUGUGAAAGCCCCGAGCUUAACUUGGGAAUUGCAUUUCAUACUGGGUCGCUAGAGUACUUUAGGGAGGGGUAGAAUUCCACGUGUAGCGGUGAAAUGCGUAGAGAUGUGGAGGAAUACCGAAGGCGAAGGCAGCCCCUUGGGAAUGUACUGACGCUCAUGUGCGAAAGCGUGGGGAGCAAACAGGAUUAGAUACCCCGGUAGUCCACGCUGUAAACGAUGUCGAUUUGGGGAUUGGGCUUUGAGCUUGGUGCCCGUAGCUAACGUGAUAAAUCGACCGCCUGGGGAGUACGGCCGCAAGGUUAAAACUCAAAUGAAUUGACGGGGGCCCGCACAAGCGGUGGAGCAUGU